UGGAGGGCAUGGCGUCUCUGGUGUUGGACCUGGAGGUGGUGGUGGCAUCACGGUGGGUGGUGGUGGAGGCUUCACAGUGGGAGGAGGUGGAGUAAACGGUGUAGGGGGUGGUGGAGGCCUCACAGUGGGAGGAGGUGGAGGGCAUGAAGGUGGAGGCUUCACGGUGGGCGGUUUUGGGGUAUGAGGAGGUGGUUUAACGGUGGGUGGUUUUGGGGUGUGAGUAGGUGGUUUGGCAGUGGGGGUCUUAGGCGGUUUAACGGGAUGUUUAGGCGGUUUAAUGGGGUGUGGAGAAGGUUUAGGAGGGUCACUACAGUCACA
rnacentral:lncRNA from 1 species